UUUCUCCUCCGUCUUUCCUUCCCUCGCGCACCCGAGCCGCACCCCCCUUCCUCGCCCGACGCCAUCUCCUCCGAUCCCUAACCGCCGGAGCCCUAACCGCCGGCCACGGCGGUUUUUCUUCCUCCCCUUCCACUUCUUCUUCUUCUCCUCUGCCCGAGCCGAACCCUCCUUCCUUCAUCUCUCGCGACGCCGGUCUUCUCCACACCGACGCCUCUGCCCUAAUCUUUUCACGCCGAUCGCCUCUUCCCCUGCCCGGAGUAGUGCUAAUUCGGCGACGCCGUCUCUGUGCCCUAGCCGCCGUUGCCGACACCCGAGUAGGAGCCGAGCGAUUCCUUGCCCUAGGUGCCGACGCCGCACCUCUCUGCCCUAGCGCCGGCCCGUCGCCGAGCCCUAGCAUCUCCGGCCGACUCCUUUGUGUGCCGCUCACCAUCGCUGUUUCCUCCUCUGUGCCAGCCACUGAGCGCUGACGUCUCUGGACCUAGCACCGCCGCCGAGUUUGCUUCGCGGACGUUGUGCCCUAGCACUGUCGUAGGCCACAGUGAUUCCGGCCGUGAGGAGAAGACAGACUUGCAGUGGGCUUGUUUUAGUUCUAGCAGCGAGACAACCCUUUUUCCGGCUGUGAAUUGAGGUAUGGUUUAGGGUCAGUGGUUAAAACUAGUACCAGCCACAGUUUUGGCAACGGGUGCAUCCUCGACAAAUUAACGACAAAGUAUACGGAUUUGGGACUUUGAUUCGAGACGAGUGUCUCGAUUUGUCGGACUGGACCAUUUCGAUUG